UAUGCACACGUCUGUAUGUCGCUUUGGAUAAAAGUGUCUGCUAAAUAUUAUUAC
rfam:Salmo salar isolate Sally breed double haploid chromosome ssa26, whole genome shotgun sequence.